AUUGAACGCUGGCGGCAGGCUUAACACAUGCAAGUCGAGCGGGGGAAGGUAGCUUGCUACCGGACCUAGCGGCGGACGGGUGAGUAAUGCUUAGGAAUCUGCCUAUUAGUGGGGGGCAACAUCUCGAAAGGGAUGCUAAUACCGCAUACGUCCUACGGGAGAAAGCAGGGGAUCUUCGGACCUUGCGCUAAUAGAUGGGCCUAAGUCGGAUUAGCUAGUUGGUGGGGUAAAGGCCUACCAAGGCGACGAUCUGUAGCGGGUCUGAGAGGAUGAUCCGCCACACUGGGACUGAGACACGGCCCAGACUCCUACGGGAGGCAGCAGUGGGGAAUAUUGGACAAUGGGGGGAACCCUGAUCCAGCCAUGCCGCGUGUGUGAAGAAGGCCUUAUGGUUGUAAAGCACUUUAAGCGAGGAGGAGGCUACUUUAGUUAAUACCUAGAGAUAGUGGACGUUACUCGCAGAAUAAGCACCGGCUAACUCUGUGCCAGCCGCCGCCGUAA
rnacentral:rRNA from 1 species